AGAAAUGAAAAGAAAUGAGAAAUAUGAAAUGCAGGCUUCAACCAGGCAGUUUCAGAAUCCAACUAGUAAGUAGGUGAGCUAGUCGGAAAGUAGGAAUUCCACUAGUUAGUAGUAAGCCUUAAGUCAGUUGCCCGAUGACCUAGUAGAACUAAGCCAAGGUAUUAAUUCCCUGCUUAUAGGUAUAUACUCAUAAUUGAACUAGCAGGUAUAAGCCCUAAAACCA
rnacentral:lncRNA from 1 species